AGCGAACGCUGGCGGCAGGCUUAACACAUGCAAGUCGAACGCCCCGCAAGGGGAGUGGCAGACGGGUGAGUAACACGUGGGAACGUACCCUUUGGUUCGGAAUAACUUGGGGAAACUCAAGCUAAUACCGGAUAAGCCCUUAUGGGGAAAGGUUUACUGCCGAAGGAUCGGCCCGCGUCUGAUUAGCUAGUUGGUGAGGUAAUGGCUCACCAAGGCGACGAUCAGUAGCUGGUCUGAGAGGAUGAUCAGCCACACUAGGACUGAGACACGGCCCAGACUCCUGCGGGAGGCAGCAGUGGGGAAUAUUGGACAAUGGGGGCAACCCUGAUCCAGCCAUGCCGCGUGAGUGAUGAAGGCCUUAGGGUUGUAAAGCUCUUUUACCCGGGACGAUAAUGACUGUACCGGGAGAAUAAGCCCCGGCUAACUUCGUGCCAGCAGCCGCGGUAA
rnacentral:rRNA from 1 species